rnacentral:rRNA from 1 species
UACGGAGGGAGCUAGCGUUAUUCGGAAUUACUGGGCGUAAAGCGCACGUAGGCGGCUUUGUAGUAAGAGGUGAAAGCCCAGAGCUCAACUCUGGAAUUGCCUUUAGACUGCAUCGCUUGAAUCAUGGAGAGGUCAGUGGAAUUCCGAGUGUAGAGGUGAAAUUCGUAGAUAUUCGGAAGAACACCAGUGGCGAAGGCGGCUGACUGGACAUGU